UACGUAGGGCGCAAGCGUUGUCCGGAAUUAUUGGGCGUAAAGAGCUCGUAGGCGGCUUGGCACGUCGGAUGUGAAAGCCCGGGGCUUAACCCCGGGUCUGCAUUCGAUACGGGCUAGCUAGAGUGUGGUAGGGGAGAUCGGAAUUCCUGGUGUAGCGGUGAAAUGCGCAGAUAUCAGGAGGAACACCGGUGGCGAAGGCGGAUCGCUGGGCCAUUACUGACGCUGAGGAGCGAAAGCGUGGGGAGCGAACAGG
rnacentral:rRNA from 1 species